GACGAACGCUGGCGGCGUGCUUAACACAUGCAAGUCGAACGGAAAGGCCCUGCUUGCAGGGUACUCGAGUGGCGAACGGGUGAGUAACACGUGGGUGAUCUGCCCUGCACUUCGGGAUAAGCCUGGGAAACUGGGUCUAGUACCGGAUAGGAGCCAUUUUUAGUGUGAUGGUUGGAAAGUUUUUUCGGUGUAGGAUGAGCUCGCGGCCUAUCAGCUUGUUGGUGGGGUAAUGGCCUACCAAGGCGGCGACGGGUAGCCGGCCUGAGAGGGUGGACGGCCACAUUGGGACUGAGAUACGGCCCAGACUCCUACGGGAGGCAGCAGUGGGGAAUAUUGCACAAUGGGCGCAAGCCUGAUGCAGCGACGCCGCGGGGGGGAUGACGGCCUUCGGGUUGUAAACUCCUUUCGCUAGGGACGAAGCUUUUUGUGACGGUACCUAGAUAAGAAGCACCGGCUAACUACGUG
rnacentral:rRNA from 1 species